rnacentral:rRNA from 1 species
UGAGGAAUAUUGGUCAAUGGACGCAAGUCUGAACCAGCCAAGUAGCGUGCAGGAUGACGGCCCUAUGGGUUGUAAACUGCUUUUAUAUGGGUAUAAAGUGGGGAACGUGUUCCCUUUUGCAGGUACCAUAUGAAUAAGGACCGGCUAAUUCCGUGCCAGCAGCCGCGGUAAUACGUAGGUCCCGAGCGUUGUCCGGAUUUAUUGGGCGUAAAGCGAGCGCAGGCGGUUAGAAAAGUCUGAAGUGAAAGGCAGUGGCUCAACCAUUGUAGGCUUUGGAAACUGUUUAACUUGAGUGCAGAAGGGGAGAGUGGAAUUCCAUGUGUAGCGGUGAAAUGCGUAGAUAUAUGGAGGAACACCGGUGGCGAAAGCGGCUCUCUGGUCUGUAACUGACGCUGAGGCUCGAAAGCGUGGGGAGCGAACAGG